rnacentral:rRNA from 1 species
GAUUUCUGGUACGGCGCGCUUGGCCCGCCAGGGUUACCUGGUUGUGUGCUGGUGCGCGCCUGCCAUCCUUUUGCAUAUCAGUUCUAUCCUUUACUGGUGUGAACUGGUGUGUAAAUCAUUUACUUUGAAAAAAUUAGAGUGUUUAAAGCAGGCUUUUUGCUAUGAAUACAUUAGCAUGGAAUAAUAAUUUAGGACUUUGGCCCUAUUUUGUUGGUUUCUAGGACUGAAGUAAUGAUUGAUAGGGAUAGUUGGGGGUGCUCGAAUUCAGCGGCCAGAGGUGAAAUUCUUGGAUUCGCUGAAGACGAACUCAUGCGAAAGCAUU